UAUUGGUCAAUGGGCGCAAGCCUGAACCAGCCAUCCCGCGUGCUGGAAGACGGCGCUAUGCGUUGUAAACUGCUUUUCCAGGGAGAGAAACUUGCGCACGUGUUGCGCAAUUGACGGUACCCUGGGAAUAAGCAUCGGCUAACUCCGUGCCAGCAGCCGCGGUAAUACGGAGGAUGCGAGCGUUAUCCGGAUUCAUUGGGUUUAAAGGGUGCGUAGGCGGACUAUUAAGUCAGUGGUGAAAUCCUGCAGCUUAACUGCAGAACUGCCAUUGAUACUGAUAGCCUUGAGUUUGGUUAAGGUAGGCGGAAUGUGUAAUGUAGCGGUGAAAUGCUUAGAUAUUACACAGAACACCAAUUGCGUAGGCAGCUUACUGAGCCGACACUGACGCUGAGGCACGAAAGCGUGGGGAU
rnacentral:rRNA from 1 species